rnacentral:rRNA from 1 species
CAGUCGCCGCGGUAAUACGAAGGGUGCAAGCGUUACUCGGAAUUACUGGGCGUAAAGCGUGCGUAGGUGGUGGUUUAAGUCUGCUGUGAAAGCCCUGGGCUCAACCUGGGAAUUGCAGUGGAUACUGGAUCACUAGUGUGUGGUAGAGGGAUGCGGAAUUUCUGGUGUAGCAGUGAAAUGCGUAGAGAUCAGAAGGAACAUCCGUGGCGAAGGCGGCAUCCUGGGCCAACACUGACACUGAGGCACGAAAGCGUGGGGAGCAAACAGGAUUAGAUACCCGCGUAGUCCCUGUCUCUUAUAC